rnacentral:rRNA from 1 species
AUUGAACGCUAGCGGGAUGCUUUACACAUGCAAGUCGAACGGCAGCGCGGACUUCGGUCUGGCGGCGAGUGGCGAACGGGUGAGUAAUGUAUCGGAACGUGCCCAGUAGCGGGGGAUAACUACGCGAAAGCGUAGCUAAUACCGCAUACGCCCUACGGGGGAAAGCAGGGGAUCGUAAGACCUUGCACUAUUGGAGCGGCCGAUAUCGGAUUAGCUAGUUGGUGAGGUAACGGCUCACCAAGGCGACGAUCCGUAGCUGGUUUGAGAGGACGACCAGCCACACUGGGACUGAGACACGGCCCAGACUCCUACGGGAGGCAGCAGUGGGGAAUUUUGGACAAUGGGGGCAACCCUGAUCCAGCCAUCCCGCGUGUGCGAUGAAGGCCUUCGGGUUGUAAAGAACUUUUGGCAGGAAAGAAACGUCGCGGGCUAAUACCCCGUGGAACUGACGGUACCUGCAGAAUAAGCACCGGCUAACUACGUG